rnacentral:rRNA from 1 species
AUUGAACGCUGGCGGCAGGCGUAACACAUGCAAGUCGAACGCCCCGCAAGGGGAGUGGCAGACGGGUGAGUAACGCGUGGGAACAUACCCUUUUCUACGGAAUAGCUCUGGGAAACUGGAAUUAAUACCGUAUACGCCCUACGGGGGAAAGAUUUAUCUGGGAAGGAUUGGCCCGCGUUGGAUUAGCUAGUUGGUGGGGUAAAGGCCUACCAAGGCGACGAUCCAUAGCUGGUCUGAGAGGAUGAUCAGCCACAUUGGGACUGAGACACGGCCCAAACUCCUACGGGAGGCAGCAGUGGGGAAUAUUGGACAAUGGGCGCAAGCCUGAUCCAGCCAUGCCGCGUGAGUGAUGAAGGCCUUAGGGUUGUAAAGCUCUUUCACCGAUGAAGAUAAUGACGGUAGUCGGAGAAGAAGCCCCGGCUAACUUCGUGCCAGCCGCCGCAGUAAUAC